AAGCGCCUUUGUUCCAGC
rnacentral:piRNA from 1 species